rnacentral:rRNA from 1 species
AACGAACGCUGGCGGCAGGCCUAACACAUGCAAGUCGAGCGAGGACUUCGGUCCUAGCGGCGGACGGGUGAGUAACGCGUGGGAACGUGCCCUUUGCUUCGGAAUAGCCUUGGGAAACUGGGAGUAAUACCGGAUGAGCCCUUUGGGGGAAAGAUUUAUCGGCGAAGGAUCGGCCCGCGUUGGAUUAGGUAGUUGGUGGGGUAAUGGCCUACCAAGCCGACGAUCCAUAGCUGGUUUGAGAGGAUGAUCAGCCACACUGGGACUGAGACACGGCCCAGACUCCUACGGGAGGCAGCAGUGGGGAAUCUUAGACAAUGGGGGAAACCCUGAUCUAGCCAUGCCGCGUGAGCGAUGAAGGCCUUAGGGUUGUAAAGCUCUUUCAGCUGGGAAGAUAAUGACGGUACCAGCAGAAGAAGCCCCGGCUAACUCCGUG